UACGGAGGGAGCUAGCGUUAUUCGGAAUUACUGGGCGUAAAGCGCACGUAGGCGGCUUUGUAAGUUAGAGGUGAAAGCCUGGAGCUCAACUCCAGAAUUGCCUUUAAGACUGCAUCGCUUGAAUCCAGGAGAGGUGAGUGGAAUUCCGAGUGUAGAGGUGAAAUUCGUAGAUAUUCGGAAGAACACCAGUGGCGAAGGCGGCUCACUGGACUGGUAUUGGCGCUGAGGUGCGAAAGCGUGGGGAGCAAACGGG
rnacentral:rRNA from 1 species